rnacentral:rRNA from 1 species
UCUGGUUGAUCCUGCCAGUAGUCAUAUGCUUGUCUCAAAGAUUAAGCCAUGCAUGUCUAAGUAUAAAUAGUAUACAGUGAAACUGCGAAUGGCUCAUUAAAACAGUUAUAGUUUAUUUGAUAAUUGACAAUUACAUGGAUAACCGUGGUAAUUCUAGAGCUAAUACAUGCUUAAACGCCCGACUUUAUGGAAGGGUGGUAUUUAUUAGACUGAAGCCAAUAUUCCUUGUGUCUAUUGCGGUGAUUCAUAAUAACUGAUCGAAUCUCUUUUUGAGAUAAAUCAUUCAAGUUUCUGCCCUAUCAGCUUUCGAUGGUAGUGUAUUGGACUACCAUGGCAGUAACGGGUAACGAAGAAUUAGGGUUCGAUUUCGGAGAGGGAGCAUGAGAAACGGCUACCACAUCUAAGGAAGGCAGCAGGCGCGUAAAUUACCCAAUCCUGACUCAGGGAGGUAGUGACAAGAAAUAGCAAACCGGGAACCUCAUGGUUUCACGGUAUUGCAAUGAGAACAAUUUAAAACCCUUAGCGAGAAUCAAGUGGAGGACAAGCCUGGUGCCAGCACCCGCGGUAAUUCCAGCUCCACUAGCGUAUAUUAAAGUUGUUGCAGUUAAAAAGCUCGUAGUUGAACCUCUGUCUGGGGCUAGUUUUGGCUUUGGUCAGGCUAGUUCUAGGCAUCCGCCUACAAGACUUAGAGGGCAUUCAGUUGUUCACUAGGAGGAGUAGGCAUUUUACUUUGAAAAAAUUAGAGUGUUUAAGGCAGGCAAUCGCCCGCAUAUAUUAGCAUGGAAUAAUAGAAUAGGACACUUUUCCAUUUCGUUGGUUAUUGGAAUCGUGUAAUGAUUAAUAGGGACAGUUGUGGGCAUUUGUAUUUAAUUGUCAGAGGUGAAAUUCUUGGAUUUAUUAAAGACAAACUAACGCGAAAGCAUUUGCCAAGGAUGUUUUCAUUAAUCAAGAACGAAAGUUAGGGGAUCAAAGACGAUCAGAUACCGUCCUAGUCUUAACUAUAAACUAUUCCGACUCAAUGUUUGACUGGCUUAUAUAACCAGUUGAGCGUUGUAUGAGAAAUCAAAGUCUUUAGGUUCUGGGGGGAGUAUGGUUGCAAAGCUGAAACUUAAAGGAAUUGACGGAAGAGCACAACCAGGAGUGGAUUCUGCGGCUUAAUUUGACUCAACACGGGGAAACUUACCAGGUUAAAACAAUAGUGGGAUUGACAGUUUGAGAGCGCUUUCUUGAUUGGCUGGGUGGUGGUGCAUGGCCGCUCUUAGUUGGUGGAGUGAUUUGUCUGUUUAAUUGCGUUAACGAACGAGACCUUAACCUGCUUACUAGACUGGCGAUCAUCAAUCG